UGAUUCAGUGAUUCUUAAGAUGGGAGUGUAAGGAAAAGGCAAGAGAAAAAGCAGCAAGCUAGUUUGAAGGUUAAAUCGAAACUCGGUGGAAGAAGUGCUUGAAUAGCAGAUAGCAUAGCAGCAUGCUUUGCGAGUACCUUGCACGUGGGGCAUGAAGUUGGGACAUGGGACAAGACCCUCUCGCAUGAACUUGGGAACUCAACAUGUUAUACGUAUCAGAAAACAGAAAAAAAGAAAAGAAUAAAUAAGUUGUUGGUGUGUGUGGGGUGUGAGCUUUGGACAAGUGAUUGUGCCUGAACUCAGCCAAAGGGUGGCCAUUUUCCUUUCUUUUAUCUUCUCUCUCUCUCUGUCUUUAUACUCUCACCCCAAAUAAAUGAAAGGGCUUGCCCCAUUGCACUUCCUUACAGCUUAGCCUUCCCUAGCCCAACCCCAUAAGCCUCUUUCUCUCUCUCACCCUUGCAUACGUUCCUUUCACUGUACUUUUUGACACACACACCUAAGACAUUCAUCAGAGGAAGAGAGAAUGAGUUCAUCCUCAGGUCAGAGCAGUGGCUAUGAUCUCUCUUUCAAGAUCUUGUUGAUUGGAGAUUCCGGGGUGGGAAAAAGUAGCCUACUUGUCAGCUUUAUUUCAAGUUCUGUUGAAGAUCUUUCCCCCACCAUUGGUGUUGAUUUUAAGAUCAAAACUCUCACAGUAGGUGGCAAGAGAUUGAAAUUGACGAUUUGGGAUACUGCUGGGCAGGAAAGGUUCAGGACUCUAAACAGUUCCUACUAUAGAAAAGCACAAGGAAUCAUUCUCGUUUAUGAUGUCACAAGGAGAGAAACCUUUACAAACUUAUCAGAAGUGUGGUCUAAGGAAGUGGAACUCUACUCAACUAAUCAGGAUUGUGUGAAGAUACUAGUUGGAAAUAAAGUUGAUAGAGAUACUGAAAGGGCUGUGAGCAGAGAAGAGGGUUUAGCACUUGCUAAAGAAUUGGGGUGUUUGCUUCUUGAAUGUAGUGCUAAAACAAGGGAAAAUGUGGAGCAGUGCUUUGAGGAACUUGCUCUAAAGAUAAUGGAAGCUCCUAGUCUUUUGGAAGAAGGAUCAACAGCAGUUAAAAGGAGUGUUUUAAAACCAAAACAAGAAUCCCAAGCAUCCCAAAAUGGUGGUUGUUGCUCUUAAAAUGAUACAACAUCGUGGUGUGGACAUUGAGUCUUCUUAACUAGCAAUCUUUGACAAGUCUUGUAUAUGUAAGCUUCUUCCUUAGUUUCUUCUGCCACUGUCUUUUGAUUGCGUAAUUACUUGUAUUACCGGAAUGGGGAAAUUGGCAACAAUGGCGUCUAUUAGCUUGUGUAAAUUUGUUUGCCUACGAAUGACUAUAUCAUUUAUGUGUUGCUCCCAAGUCACAAGUCAAUCCUGAUACUACAA